AUGGCCUUAUCUUAUUGAAACAAAGGUUCACGUACGAUCACCAAAAUUAAGCAACGUCGAGCCUGGUCAGUAACGAGAUGGGUGACCUCUUGGGAAUACCAGGUGCUGUAAG